GUCCACGCUGUAAACGAUGAUCACUAGAUGUUGGGAGUAUUGACCCUUCCAGCGUCGAAGCUAACGCAUUAAGUGAUCCGCCUGGGGAGUACGGUCGCAAGACUAAAACUCAAAGGAAUUGACGGGGGCCCGCACAAGCGGUGGAGUAUGUGGUUUAAUUCGACGCAACGCGAAGAACCUUACCUGGAUUAGACAUCAAUUCGAAGAAGUGCAGAGAUGUAUUUCGUCCCCGCAAGGGGACGGAUUGACAGGUGCUGCAUGGCUGUCGU
rnacentral:rRNA from 1 species